rnacentral:rRNA from 1 species
UACAGAGGUCUCAAGCGUUGUUCGGAUUCAUUGGGCGUAAAGGGUGCGUAGGCGGCGCGGUAAGUCGGGUGUGAAUCUCGGAGCUUAACUCCGAAACUGCAUUCGAUACUGCCGUGCUUGAGGACUGGAGAGGAGACUGGAAUUACGGUGUAGCGGUGAAAUGCGUAGAUAUCGUAAGGAAGACCAGUGGCGAAGGCGGGUCUCUGGACAGUUCCUGACGCUGAGGCACGAAGGUCAGGGGAGCAAACGGGAUUAGAA